CGGAAAACAACUAACAAUCACAAUUUAGUAUUAAGUUCAAGCCAAAUUUUGCUUUUAAAUCCACAACAAUGGUUUGGCAUUUGGCACUUACACCUUCUCUCUCUUGCUUGCCUUCAAAACCAUUGCUUGCUUCAAAGGACACUCACACUCGCACGUCAUGCCAUCGGCAUCGACCGACUAUUUCAUCAUCCCCUCCAACAAACUCUCACACUCGUGCAUCUAGCCACCUUUCAAUCAUUUAUUGCAAGCACAAGAAUCCAAGUGGAGGAUGCAAGGAUUUUCUCUGCUUCCAAUGUUUGAAAACAAGGAAGAGAAACAAAAGCACAAACAAAAGAACAAGAAAGAAUAGUCAACGAGAAGGAAGUGGUAAGCGAUACAAGUCAAAGUGUUAAUAUUCAUUGUUUUCAAAAUCCAAGUCAUGCAACAUCGCUAAGGUAAAUCGGGUCUUGUCUAGGAAAAUAGUAACAUUUAUCAUGAUGUUGUCCUUCCUGCUUCUAUAUAACUGCUGCUGACGUACAAGGACUGACAUCAGAACAACAUGAUAUUACAAAUGCAAUAGAUAACCAAGCGCCUGCCCUUUAUAUCAAAACACAACCACCCAAAAAAUAUAUAUAAUAAUAAAUAAGAAUGAAUUAAGUUGACUUUUCAAGCUCUAAAUAAUGCAUUCACCAAAUAAAUAUAAAUCAAACAUUAAAAGAUUGCAGCUGGAUCCAUUCUGGAUGGAAGAGCUAAGCUUUUCUCUCUAUACAAUAUAGAAGCCAACAAAAGAGUCUGCAAUGAAAGGUUUACUUCGCAGAAGAGAUGGUGCCGUCACCUGUUCUUCUCGUUCGAGGUUCUGGUAUCGGCAUCAUAUCCUCUGCGCAACAAACCGAUACAUUUGAAUAUAGAUUGAGGAAAACAAGAGAGCCUUGUGUUCAUCAAUCCUCUCAUUGUGGUUCAUAUAAUUCAUAAAUGGUUGAUUCCUAGAUGUAAAGCCAACUUGACUGAUAUGAAGCAGUGAAGAUUUUACGGUAAUUGAAGAUAGUUCUUGGAAUGUUUUUGUGCAUUUCUGGCUGAUACAGAUAGUUCAUAAAUGGUUGAUUCCCAGAUGUAAAGCCAACUUGACUGAAAUGAAGCAGUGAAGAUUUUAUGGUAAUUGAAGAUAGUUCUUGGAAUGUUUUUGUGCAUUUCUGGCUGAUACAGAUAGUUCAUAAAUGGUUGAUUACCAGAUGCAAAGCCAACUUGACUGAUAUGAAGCAGUGAAGUGAAGUAAUAGUAAGGUUCAAUAAUAUAUAUUUUCUUUCUUUUGGAGAUCGAAGGAUUUGAAUCCAACCUUUUAGUCGAGAGACGCUUAAACUAGCGGAAUUAUGUGAAAGUUGGCCGAGUGUCUUUGUUCUGUGCUAGUUGCAGCAAUGAAUCUAUUUUCACAUGUGACGAGGAAGUGUGGGGAUUUUGAGUGGUAUUGAGUUAAUUGAAAUGGAGUUCAAAAGUGCUUUUGAGAGAACUAGAAAAUUCAAAAUAUAAAAAGUUGGUGGGCUGCCAUAAGAUGGUAGAGUUAAUAGCCCUUGGAUGCAAAUUCAAAUUCAUGUCAUUAUGAGAUAUAAAUUCAGAGAUGUGUCAUUAGAACAGUGAAA